GGGGUUGUGGCUCAGUGGUAGAGCGCUCGCAUUGCAUGUGUGAGACCCUGGGUUCGAUCCCCAGCACCACA
rnacentral:tRNA from 1 species